rnacentral:rRNA from 1 species
UACGUAGGGUGCGAGCGUUAAUCGGAAUUACUGGGCGUAAAGCGUGCGCAGGCGGUGAUGUAAGACAGAUGUGAAAUCCCCGGGCUCAACCUGGGGACUGCAUUUGUGACUGCAUCGCUGGAGUACGGCAGAGGGGGAUGGAAUUCCGCGUGUAGCAGUGAAAUGCGUAGAUAUGCGGAGGAACACCGAUGGCGAAGGCAAUCCCCUGGGCCUGUACUGACGCUCAUGCACGAAAGCGUGGGGAGCAAACAGG